UAGGCUACAGGAGAAUCGAGCAGAGGGAAAGGUCGAAAGGAGCACGGCGCUCCCGAGGCGGUGGGGGCGGCUAAUCCAUGUGGCUCGGCGACCGCAGGCGGCGCGGGCGGCUCCUCCAUGUGCCUCAGCGACGGAGGCCGCGGCCUCUCGCUGCCUUGCCAUGCCAGAUGACGAGGGCAGUGAAGGCGGCUGUGUGGGCGUCGCGGCACCGGCGAGCUGCGGGAUCAACGGCCGAGAGGGGAAAAGCAGGCGUUUGGAUGAAGUAACCAAACCCCUUGGUCAUCGAAGCCACGCGCAUCCAACGUUCCUGCCCCAUUUCGUCGACCGCUGCAACUACGGCGAUCUCGACUGUACGGGUGGUCCGUUCAGAUCUGGUCGAGACGCCCGCAUCCGGAGCAUGAUGGAUUGGGCGACUGGAAGGGGAACAAGCCAACACCAGUUGUUCUGUGCAUUAUGGGGUGGGACAAGAAUUAGAUAGCUAGAAUGCUGAUUCUGGAACUCAUAAUUUCUUUUGGAGAUGCAAAAACUUGGCGAUAAAUAUGUAACUACAAUAAACUAUAGGUGCAGCGUGCAGGUUGAUGGGACCGGAUGCAUAAAGUUGUAUUACAAUGACAAAUUCAAUGAAGAAUAGGAGGCAAACCUCCUAUGUGAAACAAGCUGGAGUUGAAAUUGGUGAAAUGUUAAGCUUGUGCCAACUCGGGAGGUGAUUGCAAGAUGCCAGAAUGUGGUGAAGUAAACUGAAAGGAUAGUUUGGGUACUUCGUGCUUUUGAAUUUGAGAGCUUUCAAGGCCUAUGACUAGUCUUAAACAGAAUGUUAUUUUAACACAUACAGAAUUUUGUACGUGAGCUCCUGCGAGGAAGGUGUCUUACCUGGCAUCACACUUCCCUAUGACAGAAUUUCUUAUGAAUUAAAAUGGACCAAAUUCAUUGCA